rnacentral:rRNA from 1 species
GUGGGGAAUAUUGGGCAAUGGGGGCAACCCUGACCCAGCGACGCCGCGUGAGGGAAGAAGGCCUUAGGGUCGUAAACCUCUGUUGUGUGGGAAGAAGAGCGUGACGGUACCACACGAGGAAGUCCCGGCUAACUACGUGCCAGCAGCCGCGGUAAUACGUAGGGGACGAGCGUUGUCCGGAUUUACUGGGCGUAAAGGGCGUGUAGGCGGUCAUUUAAGUCAGCUGUGAAAUGGUUUGGCUUAACCGGAUCAGGCGGUUGAAACUGGAGGACUGGAGUGCUGGAGAGGCAAGUGGAAUUCCCAGUGUAGCGGUGAAAUGCGUAGAUAUUGGGAAGAACACCGGUGGCGAAGGCGACUUGCUGGCCAGCAACUGACGCUGAGGCGCGAAAGCCAGGGGAGCAAACGGGAUUAGAAACCCUUGUAGUCC